GCCUAAAAUGUGCAUCUUUUUGAAAUCACCAAGCUCUUUCCAGACCACUGAUCCAUCACCAUCGCUGAAAAUCCCUCUUGUAUGUGAGGUCACAUCAUCUAGAUUUCCAUCUGUCUCCAUUUUCCUUGUCAACUUCUCCAAGUCACAUCAUCUAGAUUUCCAUCUGUCUCCAUUUUCCUUGUCAACUUCUCCAAGUCACAUAACACAGUCUCAGGACACAAACUUACCAUUUUCUCUUUUCUAGUCUGUACGUUAUAGCUUCUGAACAAUGGCCCAACCAAUAAUGUACUCUCCUCAGUUUCCUCAAUUGCAGUGACUUUAUUUCUGUUAAAUUAUGGCCACCUGGAGCUUCUUUACUUUUUAAUUCUUACCUCAAAAGUUUACUUGUCUGUCCAUAAUAUUUUCUUUUUAAAAUAUUUAUUUAUUUAUUUGGCUCCACUGGGUGUUAUUUGCAGCAUGUAGAAUCUAGUUCCCCAACCAGCGGUCAAGCUUAAGCCCCCUACAUUGAGAGCAUGAGGUCUUAGCUACUGGACUGCCAAGGAAGUCCCUGUUCCUAAUUUUCUAUACUGGCUCCCACUGCCUAUUGUUUUAGGGUUCUCCAGGAAAAUAGAAUCAGUAGAAUGUGGGGAGGGGUGGAUGGAUAGAGAAAGAGAGAUCUAUUUUUAAGAAAUUUGCUCAUGCAGUUGUUGAGGCUGGCAUGUCCAACAUCUGAAGAGUAAGCAUUUUAGUUCAUUUAAGUUGCUGUAACAAAAUGUCACAUACUAGGUAAUGUAUAAACAACAGAAAUGUGUUUCUUGUGGUUUUAGAGGCUGGGAAGUCCAAGAUUAAGGUACCAGUGUGGAUGUAUUCUUAUGAAGGCCUCUUCCUGGUUCAUAGCAGGUAUCUUCUUACUGUGUCCUCACAGAGUAGAGAGGGCUAGUAAUCUGGGUUGGGCUUCUUUUGUUUUUUAAUUUUUUAUUGGAGUAUAGUUGCUUUACAAUGUUGUGUUAGUUUCUGCUGUACAGCAAAGUGAAUUGUGUAUACAAAUACAUAUAUGCCCUCUUUGCAUUUUCUUCCAUUUAGGUCACCACAGAGCGUUAAGUAGAGUCCCCUGUGCUAUAUAGUAGGUUCUCAUUAGUUAUCUAUUUUAUACAUAGUAUCACACAAAGGUCCAUCUAGUCAAGGGUAUGGUUUUUCCAGUAGUCAUGUAUGGAUGUGAGAGUUGGACUGUGAAGAAAGCUGAGCGCCAAAGAAUUGAUGCUUUUGAACUGUGUUGGAUAAGACUCUUGAGAGUCUUCUCUCCAUUCUUUUUUUUUUUUUUUUUUCCUCUAAUUUUAUUUUAUUUUUAAACUUUACAUAAUUGUAUUAGUUUUGCCAAUAUCUGUUUGACAGAAAACAACAAAAAUCUGUAAAGCAAUAUCCUUCAAUUAAAAAUAAAUUAAUUAAAAAACAAAAAACUCUUGAUGAC
rnacentral:lncRNA from 1 species